CCUACGGGAGGCUGCAGUCUAGAAAUUUGGGCAAUGGGCGAAAGCCUGACCCAGCGACGCCGCGUGGGGGAUGAAGCUUCUCGGAGUGUAAACCCCUGUUAGGUGGGACGAAAGCCCGUAUACGAAUAGUAGGCGGGUUUGACGGUACCACCAGAGGAAGCUCCGGCUAACUCCGUGCCAGCAGCCGCGGUAAUACGGGGGGAGCAAGCGUUGUUCGGAGUUAUUGGGCGUAAAGGGCGUACAGGCGGUGGUGUAAGUCAGAUGUGAAAUCCCCCGGCUCAACCGGGGACCUGCAUUUGAUACUGCAUCACUUGAGUACAGGAGAGGAGAGCGGAAUUUUCGGUGUAGCGGUGGAAUGUGUAGAUAUCGAAAAGAACACCAGUGGCGAAGGCGGCUCCCUGGCCUGAUACUGACGCUGACGCGCGAAAGCUAGGGGAGCAAACAGGAUUAGAUACCCUGG
rnacentral:rRNA from 1 species